GUGCUCGCUUUGGCAGCACAUAUACUAAAAUUAGAACGAUAUAUAGAAGAUUAGCGUGGCCCCUGUGCAAGGGUGACGGGCAGAUUUUGUGACAUAGUCUGUAUUUCU
rnacentral:snRNA from 1 species